rnacentral:lncRNA from 1 species
AUAAACUUUUGAAGGUUUUUGAGAAGUUUGACCAGAAGUAGAAUUUUGAUAUAUUCCAACCUCGGAAAUUGGAGUAGAUCCGUAAUGUCAAAUAUGACUUGUGUGUAUAAUUUGAGGUCAAUCGGAACGUGAUUUGAUAGGUUUAAGCAUCAGAAGUAGAAGUUGGAAAGUUGAAAGUUCUUAAAGCUUAAAUUGGAGGUUGAUUCAUGAUUUUAGCAUUGAUUGAUGUGAUUUGAGGCCUCGAG